CCCGCUGAACUUAAGCAUAUCAAUAAGCGGAGGAAAAGAAACUAACAAGGAUUCCCCUAGUAACUGCGAGUGAAGCGGGAAGAGCUCAAAUUUAAAAUCUGGCGGUCUCGCGGCCGUCCGAGUUGUAAUCUGGAGAAGCGUUUUCCGCGUCGGACCGUGUACAAGUCUUCUGGAACGGAGCGUCGUAGAGGGUGAGAAUCCCGUCUCUGACACGGACAGCCGAUGCUUCAUGUGAUACGCUCUCGAAGAGUCGAGUUGUUUGGGAAUGCAGCUCUAAAUGGGUGGUAAAUUCCAUCUAAAGCUAAAUAUUGGCGAGAGACCGAUAGCAAACAAGUACCGUGAGGGAAAGAUGAAAGGAACUUUGGAAAGAGAGUUAAACAGUACGUGAAAUUGUUGAAAGGGAAACGCUUAAAGUCCAGUCGCGUUGGUUAGGAAUCAGCCUUGGUUUUCCUUGGUGCACUUCCUAGUCGACGGGUCAACAUCAGUUUUGACCGUUGGAUAAAGGUCAAGGGAAUGUGGCACCUUCGGGUGUGUUAUAGCCUUUGAUUGUAUACAGCGGUUGGGACUGAGGAACUCAGCACGCCGCAAGGCCGGGUAUUCGUACCACGUUCGUGCUUAGGAUGCUGGCAUAAUGGCUUUAAUCGACCCGUCUUGAAACACGG
rnacentral:rRNA from 1 species